ensembl:miRNA
AUAUUAGGUUGGUGCAAAAGUAAUUGUGUUUUUUGCCAUACUUUUAAUGGCAAAAAUUGCAACUACUUUUGCACCAGCCUAAUA